rnacentral:rRNA from 1 species
AUAUCGACGGCGGUGUUUGGCACCUCGAUGUCGGCUCAUCACAUCCUGGGGCUGAAGUAGGUCCCAAGGGUAUGGCUGUUCGCCAUUUAAAGUGGUACGCGAGCUGGGUUUAGAACGUCGUGAGACAGUUCGGUCCCUAUCUGCCGUGGGCGUUGGAAGAUUGAGAGGGGUUGCUCCUAGUACGAGAGGACCGGAGUGAACGCACCACUGGUGUUCGGGUUGUCAUGCCAAUGGCAUUGCCCGGUAGCUAAGUGCGGAAGAGAUAACCGCUGAAAGCAUCUAAGCGGGAAACUUGCCUCGAGAUGAGUCUUCCCUGUCGCUUAAAGUGACCUAAAGGAACGUUUAAGACUAAGACGUUGAUAGGCUGGGUGUGUAAGCGUAGCGAUACGUUGAGCUAACCAGUACUAAUGAACCGUGAGGCUUAACCUGACAACACCGAAGGUGUUU